rnacentral:sRNA from 1 species
GCCAGGCAUGGUGGUGCCUACCUGUCAUCCCAGCUGCUCAGGAGGCUGAGGCAGGAGGAUCACAUGUUCGAGGCUGGCCUCAGCCAUUUAGUGAGGCCCUAAGCAACUCAGCGAGACCCUGGCUCUA